CUAUUGCAUUAUUUAUACUUGAAAAAACAUGUUAGAUAUUUUAUUUUUUACGAGUUUUCUUAUCUUUUUAUUUUUUUAAAAUUUUAAUGUACUUUUUAUUGUCCGCAUUAUUAUACUAUUUUGUAAAUUAAAAAUUAAAAUAUUAUGUUUAUUCAAUAAAAAUAUAACUAGCACCUGUUAAAUGUUGAAUUUAAAAACAAAGUAAACAAAAUUAAAAAAAAAUAUACAAACAGAGACCAUUUAUGUUUGCAUAAUUGCUAACCAAAAGUUAGCGAAUUGUUAAACCCAAACGGCCGAAACCUCAAAGCCCUAACAUAUUGGGGAUUCUAAAAUUGGCUCCAUCUUUUACCAAACUUAGUCUAAUUUUAGUCAAAUUUGAUUUCCAUCACCGCAAUAUACUCCCUCUCUACAAAUUGUGCUAUGUAUGGAGAGUAUGAGAGAUUUAGAAGGAAAAGAUUUUGGCGGUAAGAAUUUUUGGAUUCCCUCCUCCUAAUUCUAAAAUUACAGUUUCCUUUAUUAGUUAGAACUCGACAACCUAAUUUUGCAUAUUUAAUUGGAGGUUUAAGGAAACAGAGAAAGGGAGGCAAGCUAUUGGAAGAACAUUGAUGUAGGGUUCAGACUCUUGGUGAGGCUUUUGCAGGUUCUUAUCUGUCUUCUGUUUAAUUUAAUACUAUGUAAAUCUAAUUAUUUGUAGUGUAAUAGUUAAAAAAAGUAUUUUUGUGUUUGAUUUAAUAAUCUCCCUCUUUGUGAUAGGUUUUUGAUAACUCACAUGAAGAUCACCAACAAUAAUUAUCACCGGUUUCAGUUGUUCACAAAAAUAAGGUGAGUUUUAGAUCAAAGUUACGAGUUAAUUGCCCAAGUGUUAUAAUCUCGUAUUUGAGCAAAAUAUGUGGGAGUUUAACUGUCGAUAUAUAAGAUAUAUAGCAAAUUACGUAGUGUGGCUGUAACCUGUUUGAGUUGUAGUGCAAACUAAUUUCGAACAAUAGCUUUAUACCUCACUUAGAAUGCAUUUGUGGAAAACUACAUUCAUACUCAUCUCCACCAUUCCUUUAUUUCUCUUCUAUUUAGACAAAUGCAAAAUUCAGUCUUAUAUCACCAUCAGAUUCAUUAUAUUUAUUCUUAUUUAUUCUAUUGUUUGGAGAAUUGAGAUUAUCUUAUAAAUUUGUGAAACUCAAAUCUUUUCGGGUUACUAGUUUUUCAGAAUGAGAGAUACAAGUUGUAGUUUUGGCCUGACUUAUUUCUUUAUAAUUUUUGCCUCGUCAGUUUUAGUUUAGUUUGAAAUAAGUUCUGUCAUCGUUUGGUUGAAGUAUGCUUAAUUGUAGCUACAUUUUUUGAUUGAUGUUCACUUGUCUAUGAGCAUUUUAAGAAUUGAUGGGUCUAUAUUGGAUGAUAUCUUUGUGAUUUGAGAAUAGUGAAGCAUUUAGUUCAAAAGAACUUUUACAAUGUUGUCACAGAAGGAGUUCUAGUAUAAAUGUGUUGUCAAUAUUGCCUCCAGACUUUUGCUUGUAAUUUAAAGUUCUUAUGUUAUUUUUGUAGAAGUGUGCGACAUUCUGGGGCUAUAUAGGCUUUGUCUUGUUGAUUUUAUCUUGUACUCUAUAUAGGCUAUUUAUUACAUAGUUUUAAUUAUCCUUUUAUGUGAUUCUUUACAGAACUUCUGAAGGAUAAUAAGAUCAAUUAUUGGCAAGGAAUACUUGGAUUGUGGAAAGAUGGAUCCAUACAUAAAGCCUUGCUUCAGAAUUUAUUCUGGAAUUUAAGGGAAUUCGUUUAGAUUAGAAGUGAAUUUGACAUAGUUCCAUGUUAAAAUUACUUUAUCUUUUAUGAUUUAAUUUGAAUUACAUUUUAUUUGAGAUAUAAUAGAUCAUUUAAUUUGAACUCUUAACUUGUAAGGAGAACCC
rnacentral:lncRNA from 1 species